GCGAACCGGGGGAACUGAAACAUCUAAGUACCCCGAGGAAAAGAAAUCAACCGAGAUUCCCCCAGUAGCGGCGAGCGAACGGGGAGGAGCCCAGAGCCUGAAUCAGCAUGUGUGUUAGUGGAAGCGUCUGGAAAGGCGCGCGAUACAGGGUGACAGCCCCGUACACAAAAGCGCAUGUGUUGUGAGCUCGAUGAGUAGGGCGGGACACGUGGUAUCCUGUCUGAAUAUGGGGGGACCAUCCUCCAAGGCUAAAUACUCCUGACUGACCGAUAGUGAACCAGUACCGUGAGGGAAAGGCGAAAAGAACCCCGGCGAGGGGAGUGAAAAAGAACCUGAAACCGUGUACGUACAAGCAGUGGGAGCACCCUUCGGGGUGUGACUGCGUACCUUUUGUAUAAUGGGUCAGCGACUUAUAUUCUGUAGCAAGGUUAACCGAAUAGGGGAGCCGGAGGGAAACCGAGUCUUAACCGGGCGUUAAGUUGCAGGGUAUAGACCCGAAACCCGGUGAUCUAGCCAUGGGCAGGUUGAAGGUUGGGUAACACUAACUGGAGGACCGAACCGACUAAUGUUGAAAAAUUAGCGGAUGACCUGUGGCUGGGGGUGAAAGGCCAAUCAAACCGGGAGAUAGCUGGUUCUCCCCGAAAGCUAUUUAGGUAGCGCCUCGUGAAUUCAUCUCCGGGGGUAGAGCACUGUUUCGGCUAGGGGGCCAUCCCGGCUUACCAACCCGAUGCAAACUGCGAAUACCGGAGAAUGUUAUCACGGGAGACACACGGCGGGUGCUAACGUCCGUCGUGAAGAGGGAAACAACCCAGACCGCCAGCUAAGGUCCCAAAGUCAUGGUUAAGUGGGAAACGAUGUGGGAAGGCCCAGACAGCCAGGAUGUUGGCUUAGAAGCAGCCAUCAUUUAAAGAAAGCGUAAUAGCUCACUGGUCGAGUCGGCCUGCGCGGAAGAUGUAACGGGGCUAAACCAUGCACCGAAGCUGCGGCAGCGA
rnacentral:rRNA from 1 species